rnacentral:rRNA from 2 species
GCCCGGUAGCUAAGUGCGGAAAAGAUAAGCGCUGAAAGCAUCUAAGCGCGAAACUUGCCUCAAGAUGAGUCUUCCCUUGGACUUUGAGUCCACUGAAGGAACGUUUAAGACUAAGACGUUGAUAGGCUGGGUGUGUAAGUGCAGCGAUGCAUUGAGCUAACCAGUACUAAUGAUCCGUGAGGCUUAACCUUACAACACCGAAGGUGUUUUAG